CACGGGGGGAGCAAGCGUUGUUCGGAAUCACUGGGCGUAAAGGGCGUGUAGGCGGUCAAGUAAGUGGAAUGUGAAACGCCUCGGCUUACCCGAGGACCUGCAUCCCAAACUGCUUGGCUUGAGUAUGGGAGAGGAUGAGGGAAUUCCUGGUGUAGCGGUGAAAUGCGCAGAUAUCAGGAAGAACACCCGUGGCGAAGGCGGCUCUCUGGGACGGUACUGACGCUGAGACGCGAAAGCGUGGGGAGCGAACAGG
rnacentral:rRNA from 1 species